AUACGUAGGGUCCAAGCGUUAAUCGGAAUUACUGGGCGUAAAGCGUGCGCAGGCGGUUGUGCAAGACCGAUGUGAAAUCCCCGGGCUUAACCUGGGAAUUGCAUUGGUGACUGCACGGCUAGAGUGUGUCAGAGGGGGGUAGAAUCCCACGUGUAGCAGUGAAAUGCGUAGAGAUGUGGAGGAAUACCGAUGGCGAAGGCAGCCCCCUGGGAUAACACUGACGCUCAUGCACGAAAGCGUGGGGAGC
rnacentral:rRNA from 1 species